AUGGGCUCGUUGGAGGCGACGCGGGCGGAGCUGGGGCUGGCGGUGCUGUACCUGAACAAGGCGGAGGCUCGGGACAAGAUCUGCAGGGCCAUCCAGUACGGCUCCAAGUUCAUCAGCAACGGCCAGCCCGGCACCGCGCAGAACGUCGACAAGUCCACCACCUUGGCUCGCAAGGUCUUCCGCCUCCUCAAGUGGGUGAACGAUCUGCACGCCCUCAUCAGCCCGGCCGCCAAAGGGACCCCUCUCACGCUGGUCUUGCUUGGGAAGUCCAAGAAUGCGCUGCUGUCGACUUUCCUGUUCCUGGACCAGUUCGUGUGGCUAGGAAGAUCGGGGAUUUACCAGAACAAGGAGCGCACGGACCGCAUCGCCAGGAUGUCCCUCUACUGCUGGAUGGCCUCCUCCGUCUGUGCAAGUCUAGUCGAGCUUGGUGAGCUCAAGAGACUAUCAAAGGCGAUGAGGAAGCGCGCCAAGGAGCUUAGGGGCGCCGACAAAUACGAGGACGAGCAGUACCUGGGGAAGAUGAAGCAGUCGGACGACCGGCUGCUGGCGCUGGUGAAGGCGGGCAUGGACGUGGUGGUGGCCGUGGGGCUGCUGCAGCUGGCGCCCAAGAAGAUCACCCCCAGGGUCACCGGGGCCUUCGGCUUCGUCACCUCCCUCAUCUCCUGCUACCAGCAACUCCCGUCCCGCGCUCCCCUGGCCAAACUCAAGGCGUGA
rnacentral:rRNA from 1 species